UUAUAAAUUGAGAGUUUGAUCCUGGCUCAGGACGAACGCUGGCGGCGUGCCUAAUACAUGCAAGUCGAAC
rnacentral:rRNA from 1 species